rnacentral:rRNA from 1 species
AUUGAACGCUGGCGGCAUGCUUUACACAUGCAAGUCGAACGGUAACAGGCCGCGAUUGGCUGACGAGUGUCGAACGGGUGCGUAAUACUUCGGCACGGGCCCAGUCGUGGGGGGUAACUACUCGCAAGAGUAGCUGAUACCUCAUACGACCUAUGGAUGAAAGCGGCGGACCGUAUGUCCUCGCGCGGCUGUUGCUGCCGAUGUCGGAUUAGCUAGUUGGUGUGGUAAAGGCUCACCAAGCCAACGAUCUGUAGCUGAUCUGAGAGGACAACCAGCCACACUGGGACUGAGACACGGCCCAGACUCCUACGGGAGGCAGCAGUGGGGAAUUUUGGACAAUGGGCGCAAGCCUGAUCCAGCAAUGCCGCGUGCAGGAAGAAGGCCUUCGGGUUGUAAACUGCUUUUGUACGGAAAGAAACGGCUUUGGUUAAUAAACGGGGCUCAUGACGGUAACGUAAGCAUAAGCACCGGCUAAAUACGUG